rnacentral:rRNA from 1 species
AUUGAACGCUGGCGGCAGGCUUAACACAUGCAAGUCGAGCGGGGUGAUGGUGCUUGCACUAUCACUUAGCGGCGGACGGGUGAGUAAUGCUUAGGAAUCUGCCUAUUAGUGGGGGACAACAUCUCGAAAGGGAUGCUAAUACCGCAUACGUCCUACGGGAGAAAGCAGGGGAUCACUUGUGACCUUGCGCUAAUAGAUGAGCCUAAGUCGGAUUAGCUAGUUGGUGGGGUAAAGGCCUACCAAGGCGACGAUCUGUAGCGGGUCUGUGAGGAUGAUCCGCCACACUGGGACUGAGACACGGCCCAGACUCCUACGGGAGGCAGCAGUGGGGAAUAUUGGACAAUGGGGGGAACCCUGAUCCGGCCAUGCCGCGUGUGUGAAGAAGGCCUUAUGGUUGUAAAGCACUUUAAGCGAGGAGGAGGCUCUUUUGGUUAAUACCCAAGAUGAGUGGACGUUACUCGCAGAAUAAGCACCGGCUAACUCUGUGCCAGCCGCCGCGGUAA